CCUACGGGAGGCAGCAGUCGAGAAUCUUCCUCAAUGCGCGAAAGCGUGAAGGAGCAAUGCCGCGUGAUCGAAGAAGCCCUUCGGGGUGUAAAGAUCUUUUAUCAGGGACGAAUUCGUGACGGUACCUGAAGAAUAAGCCACUGCUAACUUCGUGCCAGCAGCAGCGGUAAUACGAAGGUGGCAAGCGUUAUCCGGAAUAAUUGGGCGUAAAGCGUCCGCAGACGGUUUGGCAAGUCGUUCGUCAAAUCCUGAAGCUCAACUUCAGGGCCGCGAACGAAACUGCUUUACUAGAGACUGGAAGAGGCAAGUGGAAUUACCGGUGUAGGGGUAAAAUCCGUUAAUAUCGGUAAGAACACCAAAUGCGAAGGCAACUUGCUGGAACAGUUCUGACGUUCAGGGACGAAAGCGUGGGGAGCGAAUGGGAUUAGAUACCCCAGUAGUCCACGCCGUAAACGAUGGGUACUGAGCAUUGGGAGUAUCGACCCUCUCAGUGUUGUUUAAUUAAGCUAACGCCUUAAGUACCCCGCCUGGGAAGUACGGUCGCAAGACUAAAACUCAAAGGAAUUGACGGGAACCCGCACAAGCAGUGGAGCAUGUGGUUUAAUUCGACGCUAAGCGAGGAACCUUACCAAGGCUUGACAUCCCUGGAAUCUCCCAGAAACGGGAGAGUGCCGCAAGGAGCCAGGUGACAGGUGUUGCAUGGUUGUCGUCAGCUUCGUGUCGUGAGAUGUUGGGUUAAGUCCUCUAACGAGCGCAACCCUUAUCCUUUGUUAUUUUCACGAAGGAGACUGCCCGGGUUUAACCGGGAGGAAGGUGGGGAUGACGUCAAAUCAGCAUGGCCCUUACGCCUUGGGCUACACACGUGCUACAAUGGUCGGUACAAUGGGCUGCAAAACCGCAAGGUGAAGCUAAUCCCAUCAAAACCGAUCUAAGUUCGGAUUGGAGUCUGCAAUUCGACUCCAUGAAGUUGGAAUUGCUAGUAAACGCGAAUCAGCCAUGUCGCGUUGAAUACGUUCUCGGGUUUUGUACACACCGCCCGUCACACCAAGAGAGUCGGUAGUACCCGAAAGCUGACAUUAGUCGGAAUAAGGUAAGAUCGAUGAUAGGGGUGAAGUCGUAACAAGGUAACC
rnacentral:rRNA from 1 species